rnacentral:rRNA from 1 species
GAUGAACGCUGGCGGCGUGCCUAAUACAUGCAAGUCGAGCGAAGCGGCGGACGGGUGAGUAAUGCCUAGGAACCUGCCUGGUAGGGGGGGAUAACGUCCGGAAACGGGCGCUAAUACCGCAUACUAUCAGAUGAGCCUAGGUCGGAUUAGCUAGUUGGUGGGGUAAAGGCCUAGCAAGGCAACGAUCCGUAACUGGUCUGAGAGGAUGAGCAGCCACACUGGAACUGGGAAACGGUCCGGACUCCUGCGGGGGGCAGCGGUGGGGAUUUUUGGACAAUGGGCGAAAGCCUAAUCCAGCCAUGCCGCGGGGGUGAAGAAGGUCUUGGGAUUGUAAAGUACUUUAAGUUGGGAGGCGUUACCAACAGAGUAAGCGCCGGCUAACUUCGUGCCAGCAGCCGCGGUAAUAC